rnacentral:tRNA from 3 species
GGGAAAGUUUCCAUGGGUAGGGUAAGAUAUUUGCUAAAUAUUGUGCGUUUGCACAUAGAUGUUCGAAUCAUCUCUUUCCCG